UGGCAUAUCUUCUGAAAGAUGAAUAGUACGAUAGAUUGAAUCACUUCUUAAGUUGUUGAGCAUAUCGGAGACUGGACUUAGCGAUGGGAUGAGACAUACCUACAGGCUCUGCAGUUUGUUUUCUAAUUUUAUGGGUUAUACUCCCACUAGAGUCAUGUGGUUACCCACCUAUACAAAAAAAACAACAAUAUAGUAUGUUUUAAUUUUUUUAAAAAAAUAAACACAAACAAAAUGUGAUCUUUCUAAUUUUGAUCGAGGUUGGCCUCCCUUCUAGAAGCUAGCUCUAAUCAGUAAGGAGAGUAGUCUGGUGUAGAACUCUCCUUAAAAUGAGGGUUUGGAGAAUCAUCUCAUCUUAAAUUUUGAGGAUUAGAAUGAUGACUAUGUUGCACCUGAGGGAUCAAAUUACACACCAAAUGGAUCAGAGUUAGAGGUAGUGGAUUUUAAAAUUUUUAAUCCGAUCUAGAAUGCGAUGCUUAGAUCUAAAUCAGAAUACAAGUAAAAAGACAGCAUGCAAAAAGAUUGUUGUGAUAAACCAUUUAUCACCUUGCAUGGAUAAAUGAAUUCCGUAAUCCGAAAAAUGUAGAUCUGAAGGAGAUUCACUAUUGAGCCGCGUACAUGUCUGACCUCUACAGAUAUCUAUUGGGAUCAAUCUUAUAUCGUCUUUCUUGAUAACCUUUCUUGAUCUUAGAUCAACACUUGAUCUUCUUUCCUCGAUCUCAACACUUGAAACUUUCUUGGCAUAAGAGGAACUAGCCUAAUAAUCUUAGGCAUGAGGAGAUGUGGAUGCUUAACUCUUUGGGCAUUGGAUAGAGUAGAGAAAGAGAAGAGGCGUGGACUCAGGGAGAGG
rnacentral:lncRNA from 1 species